AUGCAUCUUCCGUUACAGCGCAUGCAGCCGCCGCGCGCCGCCGCCCGACUGUCAAGACCUAGCAAAGCCAUCGCUCGCGUCCAUCCCACCCACAUGGCCAUGGCCAUGUUGACGAAAGCCGCCCACGUCCUCCGCCGCCUGCCUGCGAUGAGCGCGGCCCGGCCGUGCGUCCUCGGCAAAGCGUCGAGGCCGGCGCACAACACAUGCCACCGGUUUCUCACUACGAACAAUGUCACAAAAAAUGUCCCUUUUCAUCGGAAUUUUCUGUGCAAACAUAGGAUGUUUGGAUGUACACGUGGUAUUUUUCUCGAAACUUUUUAA
rnacentral:rRNA from 1 species